AUUGAACGCUGGCGGCAGGCCUAACACAUGCAAGUCGAACGAGUGGCGGACGGGUGAGUAAUGUCUGGGAAACUGCCAGAUGGAGGGGGAUAACUACUGGAAACGGUAGCUAAUACAGCAUACCAUCAGAUGUGCCAAGAUGGGAUUAGCUUGGUGGUGGGGCAACGGCUCACCAGGGCGAAGGUCCCUAGCUGGUCUGUGGGGAUGACCAGCCACACUGAGUCUGAGACCCGGUCCAGUCUCCUACGGGUGGCAGCAGUGGGGAAUAUUGCACAAUGAGCGCAAGCCUGAUGCAGACAUGCCGCGUGUAUGAUGAAGGCCUUCGGGUUGUAAAGUACUUUCAGCGGGGAGGCGUUACCCGCAGAAGAAGCACCGGCUAACUCCGUGCCAGCAGCCGCGGUAAUAC
rnacentral:rRNA from 1 species